rnacentral:lncRNA from 9 species
GCACCUACUGGUCCAGUCCAGGAGAGGACGGAGGAGGGAUGGACUGGCUCUGCUGCAUCCCGCUCUCCCGAGGCCGAGGCCGCAGGCGUCGUCACGGCAGAGAUGGCCUCUGCCAAGCCUGCAGAACCUGGAUGAGAACGCGAGGCGGACGCCUAUGGGCCGUUGCCCGCAGGGACCCAGAGAGUCCCCCACCUGAGACCCGCCAGGAACAGGGUGAGGAAGGCAGAAGGCCACCCGAGGAACCUCCACACAGACUGCUCCCCGGGGUCCUCUGCCGGCUGGUGGGGAGCACAGGAGCACCAGCUGUGGCCAUGAAGACACCGUCCACAUGAGCCUGACAACCCUGGAAGGCCUGGCACCCCCUGAGGCCCAGCCUGAAGCAGGAGACCUGGAAUCCGAGGCCAAGACACCAGCCGAGCGGAAAGACCCUGGAACAGCCCCCAGAGGAGGUCCAAGACCACAGGAGGACUCAGCACCUGGGCAGGGAGGAAAUGUAGCACCUUCAGAGGGACACUCCUGUCCACAUGGGGACUCACCUCCCGGGGAGAAUGAACACUCUGCUCCACUCCCAAGAGGCCCAGCUCCUCUUGAGGAGCCACCACCCGGGCAGGGUGGAACCAAGGCGCCUCCUGCAGGAGGACCAGGCCCCCAUGAAGACUCAACUCAUGGGCAGGAUCAACCUGCUGCUCCUCCUGAAGGAAGACCAGAUCCUCCUGAGGUCUCACCUCUCGGGCAGGAUGAAAAUCCGGCUCCACCUCCAGGAGGACGAGGCCCUCAGGAGGACUCAGCAGCCUUGCAGGAUGAAAAUCUGGCUCCUCCUCCUGGAGGACGAGGCUCUCAGGAGGACUCAGCAACCACGCAGGAUGAAAAUCCUGCUCCUCCUCCUGGAGGACGAGGCUCUCAGGAGGACUCACGAGCCGGGAGGGAUGAAAAUCCUGCUCCUCCUGCUGGAGGACAAGGCUCUCAGGAGGACUCACCAGCCUGGAAGGAUGAAAAACCUCCUCCUCCUGGAGGACCAGGCUCUCAUGAGGACUCACUAGCUGGCCGGGAGGAAAAUGCUUCUCCUCCUCCUGGAGGACAAGGCUCUCAGGUGGACUCACCAGCCAGGCAGAAUGAAAAUCCUGCUCCUCCUCCUGGAGGCCAAGGCUCUCAGAAGGACUCCUCAGCCGGGAAGGAUGAAAAUCUGGUUAAUCCUCCUGGAGGACGAGGCUCUCAGGAUGUCUCACCAGCCGGGCAGGAUGAACAUUCUGCUCCUCCUACAGGAGGACAAGGCUCUCAUGAGGACUCACCAGCCGGACCCAAUGAAAAUCCUGCUCCUCCUCCUGGAGGACAAGGAUCUCAGGUGGACCCACCCGCCAGACAGGAUGAAAACCCUGCUCCUCCUCCUGGAUUACGAGGCUCUCAUGACGAGCCAACAGCCGUGCAGGAUGAAAAACCUGCUCCUCCUCCUGGAGGACAAGGCUCUCAGGUGGAUUCACCAGCCAGGCAGGAUGUUAAUCCUGCUCCACCUCCUGGAGGACGAGGCUCUCAUGAGGACUCAGAAGCCAGGCAGCAUGAACAUCCUGCUCUUCCUCCUGGAAGACCAGACUCUCCGGAGGACUCACGAGCCGGGAAGGAUGAAAAUCUAGUUCCUCCUCCUGGAGGACGAGGCUCUCAUGAUGUCUCUACAGCCGGGCAGGUUGAACAUCUUGCUCCUCCUACAGGAGGGCGAGGCACUCAUGAAGACUCCCCAGCGGGGCAGAUUGAAUAUCCUGCUCCUCCUCCAAGAAGACGAGGCUCUCAUGAUGUCUUACCAGCCGGGCAGGAUGAACAUGCUGCUCCUUCUACAGGAGGACGAGGCUCUCAGGAGAACUCUCCAGCCGGGCAGGAUGAAAACACGGCUCCUCCAACAGGAGGACGAUGCUCUCAUGCAUACACACCAGCCCAGCAGGAUGAAUAUCCUGCUUCUCCUACAGGAGGACGAGGCUCUCAGGAGGACUCCCCAGCCGGGCAGGUUGAAAAUCCUGGUGCUCCUCCUGGAGGACGAGGCCCUCAGGAGGACUCACGGGACGGGAAGGAUGAAAAUCCUGCUCCUCCUCCUGGAGGGCGAGGCUCUCAGGAGGACUUACUAGCUGAGCCGGAUGAAAAACCUACUCCUCCUCCAGGAGGACCAGGUUCUCAGGAGGACUCACGAUCCGGGGAGGAUGAAAAUCCUGCUCCUCCUCCUGGAGGGCGAGGCUCUCAGGAGGACUUACUAGCUGAGCCGGAUGAAAAACCUGCUCCUCCUCCUGGAAGACCAGACUCUCAGGAGGACUCACCAGCUGGGCAGGAUGAAAAUCCUGCUCCUCCUACAGGAGGACGAGGCUCUCAGCAGGAAUCACCAGCUGGGCAGGUUGAAUAUCCGGCUCCUCCUAAAGGAGCACGAGGCUCUCAUGCAGACGCACUGGCCCUGCAGGAUGAAUAUCUUUCUCCUCUUCCUGGAGGACGAGGCUCUCAUGAGGACUCAUCAGCCGGGCCAGAUGUUAAUCCUGCUCCUCCUCCUGGAGGACGAGGCUCUCAGGAGGACUCACCAGCUGGGCGGGAUGACAAUGCUUCUCCUCCUCCUGGAGAACGAGGCUCUCAGAAGGACUCACCAGCCGGGAAGGAUGAAAAUCUGGAUAAUCCUCCUGUAGGAAGAGUCUCUCAGGAGGACUCACCAGCCGGACCCGAUGAAAAUCCUGCUCAUCCUCCUGGAGGACGAGGCUCUCCCGAGGACUCACUAGCUGGGCAGGAUGAAAAUCCUGCUAGUCCUCCAGAAGUCUCCCGUCCACUCGAUCACUCGCCAGCCCUGCAGGGGGCACUUCGCUCUGCUCUGGCCAAAUUCCCGGACACUGAUGUGCCUUUCCCUGUGCUAGAUGGCAAUGGUGCCCCGGCCUCUGCUGGGGACAAAGGGCCCGAGGAGCAUUCAGCAGCCCUUUUGGGAGUGCCUGCCCUGACUGCUCCCGCACCCCCUGUACCAGGUCCUGGCCU